GAGAGAGAGAGAGAGAGAGAGAGGAAGGAAGGAAAGAAGGAAGGAAGGAGAUAGAAAUCAGCCCUGGUUUUUCAGAUUCUCCUUCCUUCCUUCCUUCCUUCCUUCCUUCCAUGCUGCCAGUCCGU